AAUCUGCCUUCAGGUUCGGGACAACCACUGGAAACGGUGGCUAAUACCGAAUGUGCAGCAAUGUGAAAUAUUUAUAGCCUGGAGAUGAGCUCGCGUCUGAUUAGCUAGUAGGUGUGGUAAUAGCGCACCUAGGCGACGAUCAGUAGCUGGUCUGAGAGGAUGAUCAGCCACACUGGGACUGAGACACGGCCCAGACUCCUACGGGAGGCAGCAGUGGGGAAUUUUCCGCAAUGGGCGAAAGCCUGACGGAGCAAUACCGCGUGAGGGAGGAAGGCUCUUGGGUUGUAAACCUCUUUUCUCAGGGAAGAAAAAAAUGACGGUACCUGAGGAAUAAGCAUCGGCUAACUCCGUGCCAGCAGCCGCGGUAAUACGGAGGAUGCAAGCGUUAUCCGGAAUGAUUGGGCGUAAAGCGUCCGCAGGUGGCUAUGUAAGUCUGCUGUUAAAGAGUCUGGCUCAACCAGAUAAAGGCAGUGGAAACUACAUGGCUAGAGUGCGUUCGGGGCAGAGGGAAUUCCUGGUGUAGCGGUGAAAUGCGUAGAGAUCAGGAAGAACACCGGUGGCGAAAGCGCUCUGCUAGGCCGCAACUGACACUGAGGGACGAAAGCUAGGGGAGCGAAUGGGAUUAGAUACCCCAGUAGUCCUAGC
rnacentral:rRNA from 1 species